rnacentral:lncRNA from 11 species
CUCCAUUAGUUCCUGGACGCGGCUGCAGAAGACGGAGCUUUUCAGGCAAGGAAAGGCAGGCAGGAGAAGCUUGGAGCCGCCGCCGCUCUCCUCUCACAAGGCGGACGGAAGAGGAAAAGAGAGAGAGAGAAAGACCCUUGUCUUCCUUCAGCUUCCCAUCCUCAGCCAUGGAUUCUGUGUCCACA